GAAACCAAAUAGAGGUAUAUCACUGUUAAUGAUAAAAUUGAGUAAUCUCC
rnacentral:tRNA from 1 species